UUCCAACUCAUUAGGCACACUGAUUAUGAUUGAGUUGCACCUUGUUUCAAACCAAUCAGUGCCUGAUCAGAAUGGGAUUAGAUGUGAAUCCUUAUAUAAAGCUUCAGCAGCAUUCCUCAUUUUACUGGAGUUGUAGUGGCAGGCUCACAGGCGUACUACAGUUGCUCGCCACCUCAACAAUGGCUUUAAUAAUGAGGGUACUUCAAUUGUCUCUACUCCUUGAUGUGGGCUGUCAAGUACAUGCUUACAGGAUCGGAUAUGCUGAGCCGGAGAUGCCUACGUAUGGGCUGCAGCAGCCUGCUAGCUACAAGCCACAGCAACCUCCUACUACAAGCCAGCAGCAGCAGCAGCAACAUCCUAGCUACAAGCCCCAGCAGCAGCCUGGCAGCAGCAGCAGCAGCAGCAGCAGCAGCAUCCUAGCUACAAGCCCCAGCAGCAGCAGCAGCAACAUCCUAGCUAGCAGCAGCAGCAGCAACAUCCUAGCUACAAGCCCCAGCAGCAGCAGCAGCAGCAGCCAUCCCAGCAGCAGCAUCCAGCUACAGCCAGCAGCAGCAGCAGCAUCCUAGCUACAAGCCCCAGCAGCAGCAGCAUCCUAGCUACAAGCCCCAGCAGCAGCAGCAUCCUAGCUACAAGCCCCAGCAGCAGCAGCAGCAACAUCCUAGCUACAAGCCCCAGCAGCAGCAGCAGCAGCAGCUACAAGCCCCAGCAGCAGCAACAUCCUAGCUACAAGCCCAGCCCAGCAGCAGCAGCAGCAACAUCCUAGCUACAAGCCCCAGCAGCCCAGCAGCAGCAGCAACAUCCUAGCUACAAGCCCCAGCAGCAGCAGCAACAUCCUAGCUACAAGCCCCCCAGCAGCAGCAGCAACAUCCUAGCUACAAGCCCCAGCAGCAGCAACAUCCUAGCUACAAGCCCCCCAGCAGCAGCAACAUCCUAGCUACAAGCCCAGCAGCAGCAGCAGCAGCAGCAGCAUCCUAGCUACAAGCCCCAGCAGCAGCCUUCACAGCAACAUCCUAGCUACAAGCCCCAGCAGCAGCAGCAACAUCCUAGCUACAAGCCCCCCAGCAGCAGCAGCAGCAACAUCCUAGCUAGCAAGCCCCAGCAGCAGCAGCAGCAGCAACAUCCUAGCUACAAGCCCCAGCAGCAGCAACAUCCUAGCUACAAGCCCCAGGAGCAGCAGCCCAGCAGCAGCAGCAGCAGCAUCCUAGCUACAGCAGCAGCAUCCCCAGCAGCAGCAGCAGCAACAUCCUAGCUACAAACAGCAGCAGCAGCAGCAUCCUAGCGACAAACAGCAGCAGCAGCAUCCAGCAUCCUGGCCAGCAGCAGCAGCAACAUCCUAGCUACAAGCCCCAGCAGCAGCAACAUCCUAGCUACAAGCCCCAGCAGCAGCGGCAGCAGCAGCAACGUCAUCCUAGCUACAAGCCCCAGCAGCGGCAGCAGCAGCAGCAACAUCCUAGCUACAAGCCCCCAGCAGCAGCAGCUACAAGCCCCAGGAGCCUUCAGCUACAAGCCACAGGAGCCUAGCUAGAGCAGCAACAGCAGCAGCAGCAGCAGCAUCCUAGCUACAAGCCCCAGCAGCAGCAGCAGCAGCAACAUCCUAGCUACAAGCCCCAGCAGCGGCAGCAGCAGCAGCAACAUCCUAGCUACAAGCCCCAGCAGCAGCAGCAGCAGCCUUCUAGCUACAAGCCCCAGGAGCCUUCUAGCUACAAGCCACAGGAGCCUAGCUAGACCACCACCAGCAGCAGCAGCAUCCUAGCACAGCAGCAGCAACAUCCUAGCUACAAGCCCCAGCAGCAGCAACAUCCUAGCUACAAGCCCCAGCAGCAGCAACAUCCUAGCUACAAGCCCCAGCAGCAGCAACAUCCUAGCUACAAGCCCCCAGCAGCAGCCAGCAGCAGCAGCAGCAGCAUCCUAGCUACAAGCCCCAGCAGCAGCAGCAGCAGCAUCCUAGCUACAAGCCCCAGAAGCAGCAGCAGCAGCAUCUAGCUACAAGCCCCAGGAGCCAGCAGCAGACCAGCAACAGCCCCAGCAGCAGCAGCCCCAGGAGCAGCAGCAGCAUCCUAGCUACAAGCCCCAGCAGCAGCAGCAACAUCCUAGCUACAAGCCCCAGCAGCAGCAGCAUCCAUUUACAAGCCCCAGCAGCAGCAGCAGCGACCAGCAACAGCAGCAGCAGCAUCCUAGCACAAACAGCAGCAUCCUAGCGACAAGCCAGCAGCAGCAGCAGCAUCCAGCUACAAGCCCCAGCAGCAGCAGCAACAUCCUAGCUACAAGCCCCAGCAGCAGCAGCAGCAGCAGCAGCAGCAGCAUCCAGCUACAAGCCCCAGCAGCAGCAGCAACAUCCCAGCUACAAGCCCCUGAAGCAGCAGCAGCCAGCAGCAGCAGCAGCAGCAGCUAGCAGCAGCACCCAGCAGCAGCAGCAGCAGCAGCAGCAUCCAGCAACCAGCAGCAGCAGCAUCCCAGCAGCAGCAGCAGCAACAUCCUAGCGACAAGCCCCAGCAGCAGCAACAUCCUAGCUACAAGCCCCAGCAGCAGCAGCCUUCUAGCUACAAGCCCCAGGAGCCAGCAGCAGCCACAGGAGCCUAGCUACGACCAGCAACAGCAGCAGCAGCAGCAUCCUAGCUACAAGCCCCAGCAGCAGCAGCAUCCAGCGACAAGCAGCAGCAGCAUCCUAGCUACAAGCCCCAGCAGCAGCAGCAGCAUCCUAGCCAAGCCCCAGCAGAAGCAGCAACAUCCCAGCUACAAGCCCCAGCAGCAGCAGCAAAUGCAGCAGCAUCAGCAGCCUGCCAAGAUAUCAGCGGUCAAAGAAC
ensembl:lncRNA